rnacentral:rRNA from 1 species
AUUGAACGCUGGCGGCAGGCCUAACACAUGCAAGUCGAGCGAGCGGCGGACGGGUGAGUAAUGUCGGGGAAACUGCCUGAGGGAGGGGGAUAACUACUGGAAACGGUAGCUAAUACCGCAUACCAUCAGAUGUGCCCAGAUGGGAUUAGCUAGUAGGUGGGGUAACGUCUCACCUAGGCGACGAGCCCUAGCUGGUCUGAGAGGAUGACCAACCACACUGGAACUGAGACACGGUCCAGACUCCUACGGGAGGCAGCAGUGGGGAAUAUUGCACAAUGGGCGCAAGCCUGAUGCAGCCAUGCCGCGUGUAUGAUGAAGGCCUUCGGGUUGUAAAGUACUUUCAGCGGGGAGGCGUUACCCGCAGAAGUAGCACCGGCUAACUCCGUGCCAGCAGCCGCGGUAAUUC